AUCCAGUUGACGAAUCCCAAAAAGGACGAAACGCUCGUCCAUGAU
rfam:Schistosoma mansoni strain Puerto Rico chromosome 7, complete genome